UGAAUUACUCCUCAUUAAUACUAUUGUCGCUACUACUCCAUAAAUUGCAGGUGAGGGAGGAGGAGGCAACAUAUUCCGGAAGAAGAUUAGAAAGAUGAGACGAGCGGCUUCUUUUCCUCAAUUUGUGGUGGGUGUUUUUGCAACUUUAGUUGUUCUCAUCUUGCUCAUUGUUUACGCUUUGAAGGGAUUCUUGACCAACUCUGAUAUUCUCUUUCUCAUUUUUUUAGUGGGUGGGUUUUCGUAUACGACAGUGGAAAUUGGAUUAUCGUUAUGUUGGGAAGGGAAAGGGGGAGAGGAAGAGGAAGAGAGCAGCCCAUUAUUAGGUGAGGUACCACCAUCUUAUUCCGUGGACAUCCCUAUUGGAUCACAAGAUUCACAACACACCCAAUCGUUACCGUAGAUAUCUUAUCAUUCAUGUCAAACCCUAAAUCUCCCUUGUAAUUUUUGCUCAAAUUCUCCCGUUAGAGGGUGUCUCAUUUUCAGAAAUUAAAUUGUUAAACUCUAAUUUUUCCAUCUCAAUUUACUUGAGUUUAUUCUGUUCUUGAAUA